rnacentral:rRNA from 1 species
AGAGUUUGAUCAUGGCUCAGGAUGAACGCUAGCGGGAGGCCUAACACAUGCAAGCCGAGCGGUAUUUGUCUUUCGGGACAGAGAGAGCGGCGUACGGGUGCGGAACACGUGUGCAACCUGCCUUUAUCAGGGGGGAUAGCCUUUCGAAAGGAAGAUUAAUACCCCAUAAUAUAAUGAAUGGCAUCAUUUAUUAUUGAAAACUCCGGUGGAUAGAGAUGGGCACGCGCAAGAUUAGAUAGUUGGUGAGGUGACGGCUCACCAAGUUGAUGAUCUUUAGGGGGCCUGAGAGGGUGAUCCCCCACACUGGUACUGAGACACGGACCAGACUCCUACGGGAGGCAGCAGUGAGGAAUAUUGGACAAUGGGUUAGCGCCUGAUCCAGCCAUCCCGCGUGAAGGACGACGGCCCUAUGGGUUGUAAACUUCUUUUGUAUAGGGAUAAACCUAGAUACGUGUAUCUAGCUGAAGGUACUAUACGAAUAAGCACCGGCUAACUCCGUGCCAGCAGCCGCGGUAAUACGGAGGGUGCAAGCGUUAUCCGGAUUUAUUGGGUUUAAAGGGUCCGUAGGCGGACUCGUAAGUCAGUGGUGAAAUCUCAUAGCUUAACUAUGAAACUGCCAUUGAUACUGCGGGUCUUGAGUAAGGUAGAAGUGGCUGGAAUAAGUAGUGUAGCGGUGAAAUGCAUAGAUAUUACUUAGAACACCAAUUGCGAAGGCAGGUCACUAUGUCUUAACUGACGCUGAUGGACGAAAGCGUGGGGAGCGAACAGGAUUAGAUACCCUAGUAGUCC